rnacentral:rRNA from 1 species
UUGAAACCUGCAUAGCAGAAAGACUUUGCGAACUUGUGAACAACUAUAUUGGGAAAGGGAUACGGGUCUCUUGGACUCCUUCCCUCGAUUUCGGACCGAGAAGUGCCCUUGUCGGCAUUCUUUGGCUCUGAUAAAAUAACAAACUCGGCGCGGUCAGCGCCAAGGAAAAUUAAAUGGAAAUAGCUUGCCCUUGCUUUUGCAAGAUGGUAUUGCUUAUCUGAUAUUUGAACGACUCUCGGCAAUGGAUAUCUCGGCUCUCGCAUCGAUGAAGAACGUAGCGAAAUGCGAUACUUGGUGUGAAUUGCAGAAUCCCGUGAACCAUCGAGUUUUUGAACGCAAGUUGCGCCCAAAGCCACUAGGCUGAGGGCAUGUCUGCCUGGGCGUCACGCACAGCGUCGCGCUCAACCCAAGCAAUGCUUUCGUGUUGAUGAGCGGAAGUUGGCCCCCCGAGCUAUCUCAGCUCGGUAGGCCUAAAUGACGGCCUUGAGCGAUGGGCAUCACGAUCUAUGGUGGUUUAGAACCCCUUUCGUCGUAGACCGGCAUCGUGUUUGCCUCGUUGAUCGCUCGAGCUGUACAAACCCUUGUGUGUUGCAUCUGACAGUCACUUU